rnacentral:sRNA from 2 species
GAAAAAGUUCUCUAGGGUUCCGCCGCAAGGGCCAGGUCCAAGAGAGAACCUGCGACUAACCGUCGUGGCCACGGAGGGACAAAAGCCCGGGAGAU